UUUUCAUUUCAUUUUUAACAAAAUGACGAGUUGAAGUUAAUUAAAACAUUGACCAAACCGCAUUUUAAAUUCACAACGUUUGGAGUCUUAGGUACUGAUGGUGAAAGGAACACUAUAGUUCCUAAUGUCAAAUCAGGGCUGAAGGGAGGAUGGGAAGUAUCAACGUUAAUCAAAUAUAUACAAACAUUUUAUUUUUAAAUUUUUUUUUUUUUAAUCAAUACAAGUUAGUAUCAAGGUAUAAUGUGGACGAAGCGAGUGCACAACAUUCAGUCUCUAUAUCCUAUUCAAUUUUAUAUUUCAUACUAUUGUCGUGAAAAAUUCUUUCAAAAAAUAAAAUUAAUCAAAGAUUAUAAAAAAUAUACGAGUAUGUUAUAUUGGAUUUAUAUACUAGUCGAGCAGAUAUUUUCUCAAGUGGAAAAGCUAAAAGUUACUUUUUUCACGAACAACGAUUCAACUACACUAACUACAGAAAAUCGACGAGGAACAAACACAGACUGUUGAUGCGCCAACAAAAAUUUAAAGUCUUUUUAGGUAAAAUUCACAAGUAAUUUUAAUUCGGAUAAGUGGAAAUAAUCAUAGCGGCAAGAGUCCAAAAAACAUGAGAGAAAAUCGAACGAAGUGAAUUAUAAAAACGGUAUUACAUGCAGAGACAAUGGUAUCUAUAAGGGUAUUUAACUAUCGGUAAAUGCCUAUUAAGACAAGAAAAUAUCGAUUCAAAUUUCGAACCAUUAAUAUUAUUAUUUUUGUGUACUUACGUCAGAAUAUGUACCAUAUUGUGUUAUUGAGUUUAUCGUUCUCCACGCUAAACAAGCACCAAGUUUACUAUGCCAAAUAAGUCGUCGUAAUUGGAUCUUCUUCACAAUUGUAUGAACGUAACAAGUCGAAUGUCAAUGGCUCGUGGUGGGCGACUGGACUUUGCGGCAGCGGCUUAGGAAGCGUUGGUGGCGUUGUUGUCCUUGGAUGCGUCAGCUGCUGCGGUGGGGUGGUCCUGUGCUACCUGUUGGUCCUCCUGUGUCCCAAUGUCGCUUUGCCAGAUGCAGUAUACGUAAUGCAUGAAAGCCACGACGUAAAAUACUAAUUCAAUCAUUUGGGACUGAAUUUGCUAGAUGUCACUACGUCAACUGUAGAUCACGUCUCCCAGAGUAAUGACUGUCGACAAACGCUGCAGAUCAGAGCACACGGACGAGUGUCGACCUUGUACCGUAGUCGAGGGUUUCCGGCGUCGGACCAACCACAACUGUUGUGGGUGUGUCUUAGCCUCGGAGCACACCGUUCUCCCACAUCCAGCCGGGGGACCCACUUCAACCCCCUUCGCUCUCCGAGCCGGGACAACCGAGCUACCUAUAAGAGACGUGCGUUUAAAACAACAAGAGAACACACGGACGCUGCGCCGUCGUCGCGGCAUUUGGCCUAAUACGCAUACGCGUGAGCUGUGUUCCAAAAUCUAAAAAUAUCACUACCUCGAGGCAGUGGUGGUGGUGUGUUUUGGAGGUGGCAGUGGAGGUGGCGGCGGCCAGUAUAGAUGUGAAUCUGAUGACGUACGCGGGGAGAGUUCAAUCUUCGACUAACGCCGCCGCCGCCGCUGCUUCUGACACGGCGACGACAACCACGACGCACAUAUGAUGAUGUAUACAUUUAGGAAAUUGAGUGUCGGUCAAGAGAAUUUUUUUUAUAUUAACAUCAUGUAUGUUGACGACGACUGUUAUUAUAUAUAGAUUUAUAUAUUUUUUUCUUUCAUAUUAUAUGAUAUAAUAUUAUCAUGACAUAUGUGUGCUGUGCACACACGCUGCAGACCCGAACCAACACUAACAUAUAAUAUCUUACCGAAUCGGUUAUUCGCCUUUCCCCGUUCUACUUUCACUCGACUACGCCACCGUGUUUAAUCCCUGUUUAUGCAUCUGUGUGAUUGCGUGCGGUGUUCGUAUAUUCCGCAUAUACGUGUAUAAUGUUAUAUGUUUAUGUGUGUGCGCAUUUGUAAUCUGAAAACAAACUAUUAUGUAGUGUUUUUAUUUCGUCAGAUUUUUUUUUUUUUGCAGAAAACUCCUAUGAACCUAAAACGAACGGUUUUCCGUUAUUAUAAUAUGUACACACGCACGGUAUUAUAUUUUUUAUUUUUUUUACCGGAUCCCAAAUCGAAAAUUCUCACAGCGUUCUUUUUUACUCGAUUUUCAUCAUUUGUCCUUCAAACAUAAUAUUCACUAUACCUAACGUAUUUUAUUUGUGCUUUAUAUUAGUACAUUUUUGAAAAUGUAUUUUUCAUCGAUUCAGAAAAAGACAUGAAAAUGUCACUCGGAAUUAUAUCACCCUUAAGCAAAAUAUUAUUCAUUAAGUCGACUAUUAUUAAAGUACCAAACAUAUACUGGAUGUGGAUUUAAAAAUUAUAUUAACAUGCGUAUAUAUUUAUUUGCAAAGUGUUAGAGAGAUAAAUAUUUUGAUGGAUCAUUAAGAUAAAUGCAUGGCGAAAUAGAUGGUUUAAAUAACUAACUAAAAAUUUAGUAUAUUUAAGUUAUACCUACCGUAAUUAUUGAACAUAUUAGAAAUAUAAAAG